CCAGUCGGCCGGACGGCCGCCGUCGAAAGACGGAGGAAAGUCCGGGCUCCAUACGGAUACGGCGCCGGAUAACGUCCGGCGGGGGCGACCCCAGGGAAAGCGCCACAGAAAGCAAACCGCCGGAUCGCGGCCACGCGAGACGGCAAGGGUGAAAGGGUGCGGUAAGAGCGCACCGCGCGGGCGGCAACGUCAGCGGCAUGGCAAGCCCCGCCGGGAGCAAAACCGAAUAGGAGCGACACGCGGCGCCGCAAGGCGCUGCAAGGCCUUGUCCGUUGGCCCCGCCGCUCGGGUUGGUUGCUUGAGGCGCCCGGCGACGGGCGUCCCAGAGGAAUGGCCGUCACGUCGGGGCGAUGAGCCCCGGCCAUACAGAACCCGGCUUACAGGCCGGCUGGCGUU
rnacentral:RNase_P_RNA from 1 species